UUUAAAUUGCUGUAGUAUUUUGACUAUACAAAGGUAUUGUAAUAAGACUUUAAUUGAGUGCUAAAAGAAUGGACUUUCAAAAAAAUACUUUCUUGAAUUUAAUAAUUGAAUUUAUUUUUAUUUGUGAAGAAACAAUAAUUAGCAUUAAGGACAAGAAGACCCUAAGAAUUUUUGAAUUUAAAUAAAAAGAUCUUUUUAUUUAAAUUCUUAAUUGGGGCGAUUAAAAAAUAUUUUUAACUUUUUUAGGAAAAAAAUGACCCAUUAAUAGUGAUUUAUUGAAUUAAAUACUCUAGGGAUAACAGCGUAAUAAUUUUAGAUAGAUCGUAUAGAAAAAAUAGUUUGCGACCUCGAUGUUGGAUUAGGAUUUCUAUUUAAUGCAGAAGUUAAAAAUAGAAAGUUUGUUCAACUUUUAAAAUCCUACU
rnacentral:rRNA from 1 species